AACACUUCAUGACUCAGAGCUGCUGCUACAGCAACUUCACCCACAGCUACCAUGACUUUGAUCCCCGUCUUCAUCUGGUCACUGAUCUUCUGGACUCAAGAAUGCAGAGGUCAAGCCACAGUAACUCAGACUCCUGCAGUGAAAUCUGCUCUUCCAGGAGAAACAGUCACCAUCAACUGUAGAACCAGUCAGGCAGUGUACACAGACUCACAUGGUGACCGCUUAAACUGGUAUCAGCAGAAACCUGGAGAAGCUCCUAAACUACUGAUUAAACUUGUAAAUCAGUUACAGUCAGGUUUUCCAGCUCGUUUCAGUGGCAGUGGAUCUGGGUCUGAUUUCACUCUGACCAUCAGUGGAGUUCAGACUGAAGAUGCAGGAGAUUACUACUGUCAGAGUUACCAUUCCAUCACUGGCUACUGGUUCACACAGUGUUAUAGAGUCGUACAAAAACCUCCCUCAGUCAGAUUGUAGAGAGACUGCACUGCUGCAGCUGGGAGCGACUGCAGGUGCUGAGUUGGAGGAUGUGAUAAGACACAAUGACACUCUGUGGAGGAGAGGAACCACACCACACUAACUCACAACUCACAUUAGAUAUCUCUCAAUAAUCAUCACACCACACUGCACACAGUCCAUCAUAUGUACUACUUUUUAGUUUUCUACACAGUCAUGGUGCUAACUGUCACAACUGAAAAAAUAACAGCUUUACAAAUAACAAAUCAGUAUCUGAUUAUCAAACUCAUUCCUGUUCUAUCUGUUAUCGCUCCACUCAUUUUUACUCCUUCCAUCUGAGUUUAUUUGCUGUCCCUCAAUCUGCUCUCCUAUUAAGAAACAGUCAUCAUCAACUGUAGAACCAGUCAGGCAGUGUACAAGGGCUCAUCUGGUGUAGAGUUACACUCGUAUCAGCAGAAACCUGGAGAAGCUCCUAAACUACUGUUUAAAUAUGUAAACCAGUUACAGUCAGGUGUUCCAGCUCGUUUCAGUGGCAGUGGAUCUGGAUCUGAUUUCACUCUGACCAUCAGUGGAGUCCAGACUGAAGAUGCAGGAGAUUACUACUGUCAGAGUUACCAUUACAUCACUGGCUACUGGUUCACACAGUGUUACAGAAGUGACACUUACGGAAAGUUACCUGCUCCCUGGAUUUGUUUCACCUGGAACACAUGAACCUAUUUUAAACAACAAAGAUGUUAGUGUUUCUCCUCA